rnacentral:rRNA from 1 species
CUACGGGCGGCUGCAGUAGGGAAUCUUAGACAAUGGGGGAAACCCUGAUCUAGCCAUGCCGCGUGAGUGAUGAAGGCCUUAGGGUUGUAAAGCUCUUUCGCUGGGGAAGAUAAUGACGGUACCCAGUAAAGAAACCCCGGCUAACUCCGUGCCAGCAGCCGCGGUAAUACGGAGGGGGUUAGCGUUGUUCGGAAUUACUGGGCGUAAAGCUCGCGUAGGCGGGCUAUUAAGUCAGGGGUGAAAUCCCGGGGCUCAACCCCGGAACUGCCUUUGAUACUGGUAGUCUUGAGUUCGAGAGAGGUGAGUGGAAUUCCGAGUGUAGAGGUGAAAUUCGUAGAUAUUCGGAGGAACAUCAGUGGCGAAGGCGACUCACUGGCUCGAUACUGACGCUGAGGUGCGAAAGUGUGGGGAGCAAACAGGAUUAGAUACCCUAGUAGUC